GACGAACGCUGGCGGCGUGCCUAAUACAUGCAAGUCGAACGCAGUGGGGACGGGUGAGUAACACGUGGGUAACCUCCCAUCAGAGGGGAUAACACCUGGAAACAGGUGCUAAACCGAUACUGAUGGAUGGACCCGGGUGGCAUUAGCUAGUUGGUGAGGUAACGUCACACCAAGGCCACGAUGCAUAGAGGAUCUGAGAGUGAGAUCGGCCACACGGGGACUGAGACACGGCCCAGACUCCUACGGCAGGCAGCAGUAGGGAGUAUUCGGCAAUGGACGAAAGUAUGACCGAUCCACGCCGCGUGAGUGGAGAAGGUUUUCGGAUAGUAAAACUCUGUUGUUAGAGAAGCGGUAUCUAACCAGAAAGCCACGGCUAACUACGUGCCAGCAGCCGCGGUAAUAC
rnacentral:rRNA from 1 species